CAGGAGGGGUCAGGAGACACUGUGGCCCACUCCGAGGACACCCCCGGACAGGGCCAAACAGGAAGGAUAUAAUGAGAGGUGAGCUCUAGAUGAGUUUGAAUAGACAUCAGCAGAGGCAGAGAGCUUGUCAUGACAAGGUCCUUCGCUCUCUCUGAUGGACCAUUACUCACUGCUGGUGACUGCAGCUCCACUAUCAUGUCACUGGGAAUCCACACUGCCUUCACCAGGUUCCACCUGGGCACAAAAACAUACAAGGAGUCAGUCACGCCACCAGCUGUAAAGCACAGUAAUACCAGUGUUUUUUUUAGCUGCAAAUACAUAUGGACUAGGUAUAAUCAUCUAACCACACCAACAGUCUAAAGUUGAUGACACAUACAGUCUCUAAUUCUACUAGUUGCCGUCACUCUAGUUGUCCUUGGUUCCUCCAUCCAUUACUCACAACCUCUCCACUCAGAUACUAGAUUCCAGUGCUCGCCCAAACUCUGCUGAAGCCUAUCCCUUUGCUGAUCCGACCCAGUGGGAAUGAAAUCCUUCUGCCCGCGCACCGGGAUCUUGUGGUUGCGCGUGCGGGCUUCGAACAGCUCAGAUGGGCUGUCAUUGAAUCAGAAGCACAACAAGUUGCAAGAACUGACUCUGUCUCCAAUUGGUGUCAGCACUGGCUACACGUCUUUCGCACUAUAUAUGGCCUGGCCACGAGUCAUCACACCUGACGUGAGAGGUGAUAGUGGUGCAUUUAGAUGCAUGGACAAUGAGAGAAUGCCCCGCUGAGCAAACAUCCACACUACCAGGAAGAGGCUAAAGAUCACUCACGCAAACACCCUGGCCCCUCCCAUGGCCAAGCUGUAAAGACAGCAGCAAGAGGUGGCUGGCCAGAUCCGAUCUACCGCAGCCAGUCAGGUGUAGCAACGGCAUUCUGACACACACACACACACGCAAACACACACAGUUUGAAUGUUUGAUCAACUCCUUUACACAGCUGACACAUCAAGCCAACCACCGUUUGUCAACUGACUAAUGACCUUAAAGCCAGCAGUUAAAAGUAAACGUAGGCCUAUGUUAUCCUUCAUUUUGUAUCCCCUGACCUGUUUUGAACAGUACACACACAUCCUAUAAUUCUGCACAAAAAAAGAAUGUGAAAUCCUGACAAGCUCUGGCCGGUAAGGUAAUAAAGCAUUCCCAUCGUCACACACAAAUCAACCUAGUCCCAUUAACACCCCACACUGCAAAUGAGUGAUGGCAGAGAUGAGGAGAGAGAGCGAGAGAGAGGGUGGGAGAUAGAGAGGGCGAGGAAGACAGGGGUGAAAGUAAGGCGCUACAGUCCAGUACUGCGUCCCGGCAAAAUACAUGACCCUAUCACAAUAAUUAAAACAAAAUGUCAAGAAAACUGUAAGCUAUUACACCAUGAUUUAUCAUUAGGCUACCACAUGUCAGAGGCAUGAAAAAUGAGCGAAUGGACUUCAAAAUGGGUGGUAUGGCCUAUGCUCAAAAAAGCGAUGUGGUUCAACAAGAAUAUUGACAUUUUGCCAAGGCAGAGAUGAAUGGCCGUCACUGAAACACACAAGGAAAGCAGUGGAUGCAUAAAUUCUGGCCUAAUGACAAUCACCAAAAUGUCAUUACACUUUGUGGUGUUUUGUGGAACAGAUGUCUCUUUCCAUUCACAACUGUUUGGAGGCUGGAAAUAUUUUGCGAGUGAAUGAACGUGCGCGGGUAGCCUAAAGGAGCCAUUUGAUGUCAUUUCGGUAAGAAAUUACAUCUACCUUCACCCCUAGACAGAGAGAGGAGAACGGAGAGAGAGGAAAACGGAGAGGUAAAAAGUGAGAGACAGAUGGGGGGGUGGAGAGGGAGACCCAGACAUUCACACUGGGGGCUGUAAUGUGGUGUGGGAAAUGACCAGGGAGGUCUCUGUUUCACUCCAUCCCACGUCUCCUCCGAUCAAAUCAUUUAGUGGAUGCACCCGAUGCAAACCGCCAUGCUCUUUGCUGGGGGUGAGAGGCAACACCAAUGAAUGGAGGGACAGAGUCGUGGAGGGGUGCUGAGAGAAAGCUCUGGCUGAGCCAAGCAGUGAGGGGGCCUACGCUUCGACCAGGCCUGGGGGGCUUUUAUGGCUUUUGUCGCCACGGCAGCUCACCUAUUGAGGGGAGCCCCUAAGAUAUGUAAAACAGCAACGUUUCAAAGCCUCAUCUCCACUGUGAAAAACAAAGAAAUAAAGAAAUCAAAUUAAAGUCUGGAAAGGAGUGAGUAAGAGUAGAAUAAGAGAAAAAGAAAGUAUCCUCUGUAGUAAAAAGCAAAGGGGGGCAGUAGCCAAGCCGUUUGCUGGAAUCCGAUGAGUGUUGAUAAAUAAAUAAAUAAAUAAAUAAAGGAAUCAAUAAAAAAGGGGGUGAGGUGGAAAGAGCUUACUAUGCUCUUGUUUGCCCAGAGUGUUAUUUUCUUUUCUCAUUGAGUCAGGCCAAGUCCUGCAAGCGGCUUGGUGCUUCUCCCACCCAGCAUUGAGAGGCAGGUCUGGGCUUGCCCGGCCAAGGUCGGCCACGGCUGCCAGGAACGCAUACGGCUCAACCUGCCCCCAGCUGCCAUGGUCCUUGUUUAUGUUUGUUUUUUGUUCCUCUCAGUAAAUGUCCCUCCCCUCCACCCCCCAAGGGAGGGACAGUCUGAGGAGCUCUCUCUAGAGUACAGCAUGAUCAGGUGUCAGUUGACCUGGUCACUUCCUCCAGAGGUAUGUGGCCAAGGUGUGCAUCGCUGCUGUUGUAUUGUCUGUCUCCACAAUGGCUUCUCCGUCUCCCUGUGUCACCUGCUCAGGGCCGACAGGGUGCUUUAGUUCAUCACUGCCGCAAGGCUUGCUGGGAAAUCCAUAGAAUGCCCACACUCUAGCUUCCAUUGCUACAACCAAUUAAUUAAUUCCUCCAACAUUACACUGUAUAUUUUUUUGCCACAUCGUGUCAGAUGCAUUUCUUCCUUGCUAACAACGAUGAUGUGAGAUGGUGAACACAGAGGUGUAAACUGAGACUGAUUCUGCUUUAAGCGGCUUCAGAGGGACUAGAUCUCUGGGACUAUUGUUCUCUCUCUGGAGUGACUCACCUUGCUGACUGUUACCUGGACAGCGUAACAUACAUGCUAAUUAGGAAACACAGGAACCAUGACACAUAACACUUAUGUCUGAGUAGGGAACACUUCUUGACAGGUGCACAUUUAUAAAAUGAUUAGUACAGCUAACCCUAAUGCAGAACUUUAAUUGCAAUUUCAUUUGUUCAUUAACAUUAUUAAUUUAUACACUUUAUAGUAGCCAUACAGUAUCUAGGAAAACCAAAGUUCUAAAGGCUGGGCCUAAUAUAGUGUAUAAGAGGUCAUACAAGAAGUUGUAUAGUUAUUCUAAUGUUGAAAAUGUGGUGUGUAAUGAGGAGCAACUAGGUGCUGCACUUGACACAUUUAUUAAAUUGCUUAUUCCAGAUACUAAUAAGCAUGCACCCGGUUACUAAUAAGCAUGACUGUAAAAACUGUUAAAUCCCUGUGGAUUGAUGAGGAAUUGAAACAUUUGAUGGUUGAGAGGGUUGAGGCAAAAGGAAUGGCAAAUAAGUCUGGCUGCACAGCCGAUUGGCAAACGUACUGUAAAUUGAGAAAUCGUGUGACCUAAACUGAACC